GGGUAUAAACUGGUGGGACAUCGGAAGAAGAUGUUCCGUCACUUGGGGAGGCACGCAUACUCGAGACCUAGAACGAGAGUGAGUACUGAUGAUGAACAGUGAUGCAUGGCUUCCGUCGAUUGUCGGAGAAGGAAGAUCUACAAAGAAAAUCACGUCGGAGAUGACUCCAACGAGGAUCCUCUGACGUUCAAGUCAAUGAGAUGAAUCAAUGGAG
rnacentral:lncRNA from 1 species